AGCAGUUCGUUUGUUUUUGUUAGUGGACGCGCCCUAUUAUAAGUUUAAACGGUUAAACAAAAAAGUAGGAAUUCAUCCCAUAAAUAGGGAAAGAUAUAGGUUUGGUGAAUUUCACCAUCUGUACCCUAAAUUAAGAAAAUAUCCAGACCGAUUUUGGAACUACCUGAGAAUGUCCAUCAAAACGUUUGAUAAUUUGCUGAAAAACGUUGGUCCUUAUCUGGAGAAGACACAAAUAAACUUCGUCAGAAGCCGCUACAUAUCACCUGCAGAACGACUUGUCAUUACUAUAAGAUUUCUUGUCGCGGGAACCACCUAUAAACAUUUGGGACACGAAUUCAGAGUUGGAUAUUCCACAGUUUCUGAGAUCAUAAAGGAAACAAGUGCCAUUAUUUGGGGAAAAUUACAAGGAGAUUACAUGCCAUUUCCUAGUCAAGAGCAGUUGGAAACAAUAAUCGAAGAAUACAAUGCAUUGUGGAAUUUUCCAAACCGUUUUGGAUCUAUUGACGGAAAUAAAACCACCGCCAAAUAAAAUGUCCUCCCAAAAGUGGAACGACAUAUUUUAAUUAGUUGAAAUAUUAUUCUCUCGGACUACAAGCGGUUGCCGAUGCUAACAAAAAAUUUAUCACUAUAGAAGUGGGUGCAAAAGGAUCUGAAAGUCACGGUGCUGUUUUUCAGUCUUCGACACUUUACAAUUUGUUAGAGACAAAUGGACUAAAUGUACCUCCAGACCGAGCAUUACCAAAUUCUUAUAUUAUUAUGCCAAAUGUCCUGAUAGGUGAUGAGGCAUAUCCGCUAAAAACCUAUCUAAUGAGGCCGUAUCCAAGACCAAGAAAUGGAAUUUUAGAUAAUGAUAAUAUAAUAAAAUAAUUUCUUAGAGUUAAAGUUA